rnacentral:tRNA from 1 species
GGGGUUAUAGCUCAGUGGCAGAGCGCUUCCCUAGCACGUAUGAGGAAGUGGGUUCGAACCUCAGCCCCA